GAUGAACGCUGGCGGCGUGCCUAAUACAUGCAAGUCGAGCGAACAGAUAAGGAGCUUGCUCCUUUGACGUUAGCGGCGGACGGGUGAGUAACACGUGGGUAACCUACCUAUAAGACUGGAAUAACUCCGGGAAACCGGGGCUAAUGCCGGAUAACAUUUAGAACCGCAUGGUUCUAAAGUGAAAGAUGGUUUUACUAUCACUUAUAGAUGGACCCGCGCCGUAUUAGCUAGUUGGUAAGGUAACGGCUUACCAAGGCAACGAUACGUAGCCGACCUGAGAGGGUGAUCGGCCACACUGGAACUGAGACACGGUCCAGACUCCUACGGGAGGCAGCAGUAGGGAAUCUUCCGCAAUGGGCGAAAGCCUGACGGAGCAACGCCGCGUGAGUGAUGAAGGUCUUCGGAUCGUAAAACUCUGUUAUUAGGGAAGAACAAAUGUGUAAGUAACUGUGCACGUCUUGACGGUACCUAAUCAGAAAGCCACGGCUAACUACG
rnacentral:rRNA from 1 species